rnacentral:rRNA from 1 species
AUUGAACGCUGGCGGCAGGCCUAACACAUGCAAGUCGAGCGGUUGACGGGAGCUUGCUCCCUGAUUCAGCGGCGGACGGGUGAGUAAUGCCUAGGAAUCUGCCUAUUAGUGGGGGACAACGUUUCGAAAGGAACGCUAAUACCGCAUACGUCCUACGGGAGAAAGCAGGGGACCUUCGGGCCUUGCGCUAAUAGAUGAGCCUAGGUCGGAUUAGCUUGUUGGUGAGGUAAUGGCUCACCAAGGCGACGAUCCGUAACUGGUCUGAGAGGAUGAUCAGUCAGACUGGAACUGAGACACGGUCCAGACUCCGACGGGAGGCAGCAGUGGGGAAUAUUGGACAAUGGGCGAAAGCCUGAUCCAGCCAUGCCGCGUGUGUGAAGAAGGUCUUCGGAUUGUAAAGCACUUUAAGUUGGGAGGAAGGGUUGUAGAUUAAUACUCUGCAAUUUUGACGUUACCGACAGAAUAAGCACCGGCUAACUCUGUGCCAGCAGCCGCGGUAA